CACGCCGUAAACGGUGGGCACUAGGUGUGGGGGACAUUCCACGUUCUCCGUGCCGUAGCUAACGCAUUAAGUGCCCCGCCUGGGGAGUACGGCCGCAAGGCUAAAACUCAAAGGAAUUGA
rnacentral:rRNA from 1 species